UGCAGGUAUGCCAAUAAUGGCCAUAAUUUCUAAUAAAUAUAUGAUUACUGAAUCAGUCUUUUUCUGAGUUCAAGGUAGUUGCCCAUUGAAAACCUGAAUAAGUGUCAUUGGUGUGAUGUACACAUUAAAUUUUCCAAAUUCUACAAAGAGGAACACAUCCAUCUGCCAGAUUUUAUUCCUUUGAGUACCCAUUGGAUUACUCCAUGCAGGGGAACUUCUGGAAGGCAAUAUGACUAGAAUGCAGUUAAGAUGUGGAUUCACCCUAUACACAGAUUUCUUUUCAACAACAAAUACAGGAGAAUUCCAAGGACUGAUUAAUUCUUCCAUAUGGUGAGUAUUUAGUUGCUCCUGUGCCAGUUGUUCUAAAGCUUGUAGUUUUUUCUUCUCUUAAAGGCCAUUGUUUAAUCUACAUUGGUCUCUCAGUUAACCAUUUUAAAGGUAGGGCUGUUAGUAACUCUGAAAAUAUGCUAGUCACUUUGUGUUCUUAUAUAGCCUGAAUGACUGUUGACCUUCUUUCAUAGAACCUUAUAAUAUCCAGAAACAUGAGUUUUUGGACUGCAGGAAUGUUAAUCUGGGUGUUCCAUUGCUACAGCAUCUCAUCAUUCCAUAAAUUCACUGCUAUAUUAGCUACAUACAGCCACAGCCUUCCUUUCUAUCAU